rnacentral:tRNA from 1 species
AAGCAAUUAGUCUAAGAAAGAUAUUUGAUUUCGGCUCAAAAGAUCGCGGUUAGACUCCGCAAUUGCCUA